AGGACUAGUGGGGGAGAUGCUCCUGCUAGAUUUGUAUGCUUCAAAUGUGGGAAACCUGGUCACAAGAGUAAUGUGUGCACUACUGCUGAUGUGAAGAGGUGUUUCCGUUGUGGCAAGAUUGGACAUACAGCUCCUGAGUGUAAGCAUAAGGCGGAUGUUUGUUUCAAUUGUGGUGAAGAGGCGCAUAUUAGUACUCAGUGUCAGAAACCAAAGAAGGCACAAACUAGUGGUAAGGUGUUUGCUUUGGCUGGGAUUCCGACAGCUAGUGAGGACAGACUCAUAAGAGGUAACCAAGAUGAGUAUCUGAUAGUAUUGUUAGUUCGAGUUCGGUGUCAUUUGCUCU